rnacentral:tRNA from 1 species
AGAAAUGUAAUUUAAUCAAAAUAUUAGGCUUCAAACUUAAAUAUGGGCUGGUAAGCUCCAUUUCUG